rfam:Brachypodium distachyon strain Bd21 chromosome 4, whole genome shotgun sequence.
AAUCUACUCCCUCCGUCCAACAAAGAAUGUCUCAAAUUGUCAAAUUUUGAAUGUAUCUAGACAUGACUUAGUGUAUAUAUACAUUCAAAUUUAGUCCAAGUUGAGACAUCCUUUGUUGGACGGAGGGAGUAUAUG